GGUUUUGCCGCGCAGAGGCCUUCCUUCCUCUCAGCCGGCAAGUUUAACGAGGAAAAUCCUGCCCUCUUUUCCCCCUACAGACAUCCACAUCCAGAUCGAUCGGUAGUUCCGUCAUGCCCUCGAUCAAUGUCAAUCGAUGCAGACCAGGCAACAGAAGUGACUCUUCAACCAUCGAUGACGAACUUCAAGAACUCCAAAAGCUGCAAGGGCUACUGAGGUGUAAGAUUUGCAAGGUCCGGCGUGUGGCCUUGACCUUCCUGCCGUGUGGUCACUGUGUCGCCUGCGAGGAAUGUGGCUAUAAGGUCCAGAGCUGCCCCUUAUGUCCUAAGAUGUCAAAAAUUCAGGAAAUUGUAAAAACAAUAUUUGCCCCGUAAACGGUGAUUCGUUGUUUGCAUUUAUGUUAUUAUUGAUGAAAAUCACAUGUUUAUUAUUUAAUAAUUGUAAAGUGAUGUUACGCAUGUUUCCUAGUGUAGCCUUCAGGCAUUUUUCCUAGCAAUAAAAAUCAAUCUUUUUUUCCGUGAUAGGGAUAGGUCUAGAUUUAACAAAGGUAAAAGGAUCGCCCCUCUCCCCAACUUGUUUCGGCAGCAUAAUCUGUGAACAUAAUUAACAUUUUUAUAUAGAUUAGGUAAGCACAAACAUGUUAGGCAGACCAUAUAGCUAAGAUAAAUUCGGCAUUUUGACCUGCAGAAUAUUUCACAACACUUAUGUCAUUGACAUGAUCAGCGGUUAUCAAUUAAGUCAGUAAUGGUUUCUCUCACUACAGUUGGCGCAGUUUCAGAUUUGUGAAAAGUUACAACUUUUCUAUAAGUCAUCGUUUUAAAAGAAUUGCUUGUGCAAAUAGAAUCGGUUGAUAGAUAAAUCAUUUUCAUGUUCAGUAGUAUAUGAUUGAACAUGAUUUAAAAUGAGAAAUAUAUGUUACACAUUCUUGUUUCAAAACUUCAUAGUUCAAGACACAUUGUUGUCUAGCUUCUUACAGAGUAUC